rnacentral:misc_RNA from 1 species
AACGGUCUAUACCUGCGGUACCUGCGGAAGGAUCAUUACAUGGCGGAGGAGGUGGGCACCUAGUAAAACAAAACCCUAGGUGUGUUGCCUACCACGCUUUCUACCCUUGUCUAUUUGCACCUUUUGUCGUUCCCUCGGUGGGUCUUGAACCUGCCGGCGGCAACUUUCAAAAACCUUUUGUAGUUAGUAUCUAAUUCUUCUGAUCAAAUAUUCAAUCGUUACAACUUUUAGCAACGGAUC